CCUACUCGAUCCUGCCAAUAGUCAUAUACUUAUCUCAAAGAUUAAGCCAUGCAUGUGUAAGUAUGAACUAAUUCAGACUGUGAAACUAUGAAUGGCUCAUUAAAUUAGUUAUAGUUUGUUUGAUGGUGUCUACUAUUAGGAUAACCAUAGUAAUUUUAGAGCUACUAUGUGCAAUAAACCUCGACUUCUAAAAGGGAUGCAUUUAUUAGAUAAAAGGUCGACUGGGCUUUGCUUAUUGCUCUAAUGAUUCAUGAUAACUCGACGGAUAUCAUGGCCUUUAUGCCAGUGAUGCAUCAUUCAAAAUUAUGCCCUAUCAACUUUCAAUGGUAGGAUAGUGGCCUAUUAUGGUGGUGACGGGUGAUAAAGAAUGAGGGUCCAAUUCUAGAAAAGCAACCUAAGAAAUGGCUACUACAUCCAAGGAAGGCAACAAGCAUGCAAAUUACCCAAUCUUGACACGAUGAGGUAGUGACAAUAAAUAACAAUAUCGGACUCUAUGAGUCUAGUAAUUAGAAUGAGUACAAUCUAAAUCCCUUAAUAAGGAUCCAUUAAAGGGCAAGUCUGGUGCCAAUAGCUAUGGUAAUUCUUACUUCAAUAGCAUAUAUUUAAGUUGUUGUAGUUAAAAAACUCAUAGUUGGAACUAGGGUUUGGUUGUUUGAUCCAUGUUAUAGUGAGCAUCGAUCUAUUUGUUCCUACUGCCAGUGAUGCACUUUUAGCCUUAAUUGACUGGUUCAUUCCUCUAUUGCUAUUACUUUGAAGAAAUUAGAGUGCUCAAAAUAGGUCUAUGCUUGUAUACAUUAGCAUGGGAUAACAUUAGAGGAUUUCGAUCCUAUAGUGUUGGCUUUCGGGAUCAAAGCAAUGAUUAACAUGGACAAUCAAGGGCAUUCAUAUUUCAUAGUCGGAGGUGAAAUUUUUAGAUUUAUGAUAGAUGAAUAACUAUGAAAGCAUCUGCCAAUGAUGUUUUAAUUAAUCAAGAAUGAAAGUUGAAGGCUCAAAGAUGAUUAGAUACCAUCUUAGACUUAAUCAUGAAUGAUCCCAACCAGCGAUUGAUGGAUGUUGUUUCUAGGACUCCUCCAUCAUCAUAUGAGAAAUCAAAGUCUUUAGGUUUUGAGGGGAAUAUGGUCAUAAGGCUAAAACUUAAAAGAAUUAUGGAAAGGCACCACCAAGAGUGGAGCCUGCAACUUAAUUUGACUCAACAUGAGAAAAUUUACUAGGUUCAGACAUAGUAAGGAUUGACAGACUAAAAGCUUUUUUUUAAUUCUAUAGGUGGUAGUGUAUGGUUAUUCUUAGUUCAUGGAGUGAUUUGUUCGGUUAAUUCCAUUAAUGAACGAGACCACAGCUUGCUACUAGCUAAGUGGAGGUGAUUUUUCAUGGCUAGCUUAUUAGAGGGACUAUGGCCAUUUAGGCUAAGGAAGUUUAAGGCAAUAAUAGGUCUAUGAUUCCCUUAGAAGUCUUGGGCUGCAUGUACGCUACAUUGACGUAUUCAAUGAGUUUAUAAACUUGGCUGAUAGCACCAUGUAUAUUUGAAAUUUUGUUAUGAUAGGGAUAGAUCAUUACAAUUGUUGGUCUUUAACGAGGAAUUCUUAGUAAGCAUGAGUCAUCAACUUAUGUUGACUAUAUCCUUGCCUUUUAUACACACCGUUCAUCGCUGCUACCAAUUGAAAGGUUUAGUGAAGUGUUUGGAUUACUAUGACAUGCACAUUCACUACCCGUGACAUAGUAAAAAGUUCAUUAAACCUUAUCAUUUAGAGGAAUGAGAAGUUGUAACAAGGUUUUUGUAGGUGAACUUGUAGAAG
rnacentral:rRNA from 1 species